AACCACUGAUCAGACUCUAGGUGGUAUGCAAGCUACACUGCGUGACCAAAAGUAUGUGAACCCCUGAACAUCAUCACGUCGUGUUCCAAAUUCACGGUCUUUAAAGGGUCUUCUCAUCUGAGCCAUUGGUGGCAUUAAUCUAGGCUCUGGGACCCUCACCUAUCCCCCAAGCGGAGACAGCAACCAUCCAGUAGCCGAGCGAGCUCACCUCGCAUGGGGGCCUGUUCUGGAGAUAGGUGCGGCUCCCACCCGUGUCUAUCCUUGCGACCUCUCACCAAUGUCUCCGCUGGGACAAGCCCUUUAAUAAGGAAAUAGUUUCCCCUAGAUAUUUUAAACACGAUCGGCCGGAUUUUCGAGCGUUCAGCCAGAAGUGCGUUACUCCAGUUGGGUGUUGAUGGGGUUGGAACUCCGUUAAAGGGGUUGCCUGGCCUAGGAGCAGACGAUGCCAACGGUCAGAAUCUGUGCCCAGUUUAAACAAACCCACUCACCGGUCUGCGGUUCUGUUCUUAUCCUUCAGGUUUCAGUCUCCACUGGUCCUGUGACUGCAGAACCCAGUCACUGGCCUCAGCGGUACACGUGCUAGAAGGCUACGUCCGGGACGUGCUUGUGAUCAUUGCUUGGUCGCACCAGUCACCAGAUGUUUUUGGUCUGGCAGAGAACAGAAGAGGCUUGGAAAGGGGGCGGCGGUGCGGCACAGGCGAGUGGGCUUUUCUGUAUUGGGGCCACUAGCAACUAUGCUGGACAACCCCUUUAAGGCUAGGGCUACACGACGACAUGUCGCGCGACAAUGUUUAUAAUGCUAGUCUAUGGUGGGUUUUCUGAAAUCAGCUGAUUGGCGGGGGUCUCGGACCCCCACCAAUCACGUACGGAUGACCUAUCAUGACAAUAGGUCAUCAAUAUUAAAAUCUCGGAAAAUCCCUUUAACUUGACAACAAGUGACCCACCUCCAUAGAACCAUCUUCCUUUUCCAUGGAAUGGAGUAUGAGGAGACCCCAACCCAUGGGCCUCUUCAGCGAGUGUCGUACCCGAGAGCCCUAUGGAUUUCGGCACUGGUUGGUCCUCUCCUGGACAUCUAGACCUGCCAGUAACUGCUCUUACUGGUGACCAGUUGGCAUGUGCGGGGCAGGAACGUGAUGAGCCGAGAGGUGGUUGGUGUCUUCACCAUGACCCGGUCUACUACUGGACCUCGUGGUAGGAGGGGGGCACAUACUUUUGGCUACAAGAAGCUCUAGGGCACCAGUAGAAGGCGAUACAUCCUAAGGGCAUCCUGGAAACACAGCAUCAUAAGGAUCUGACCCUCAGACCCCCGGUUGGGCUGGGAUUGGCCGCAUUGUGGGUGUCUGAACGAGGCCUAGUUAGUAUUGGGCUCGCCUGUUAAAUGUCUGCCAUGUCUCGGUGGGGGCGCUGGAUGGUCGUGGAGUGAUAAGCUGCAUUUUAAUGAAGAUCGAUAUCACCCCCAAAAUGGCUGUCUCUGCCUGUACAUAGUGUGUAAAGAACCUGAUACAUGUUUUUAUAUCACCUGCUGCAGCUCUGGAUGUGACUGGAGUAUAGGCCACUAAUAAAGCUAAUUAUUGCCAGCAUUAUGUAUAUGGAAUUUAAGGAGCCGCUUAUCCAGUAA